rnacentral:rRNA from 1 species
ACGUUAUUCGGAAUCACUGGGCUUAAAGCGCGUGUAGGCGGGCCGGCACGUCGACGGCUGAAAUCCCCCGGCUCAACCGGGGAACGGGCCUCGAUACGACCGGCCUGGAGGGGGGUAGGGGAAUCGGGAACUUCCGGUGGAGCGGUGAAAUGCGUUGAGAUCGGAAGGAACGCCCGCGGCGAAAGCGCGGUUCUGGACCCCACCUGACGCUGAGACGCGAAAGCCA